UGGGGAAUUUUGGACAAUGGGCGCAAGCCUGAUCCAGCCAUGCCGCGUGAGUGAAGAAGGCCUUCGGGUUGUAAAGCUCUUUCGGCGGGGACGAAACGGUCCGUGACAACACCACGGACUAAUGACGGUACUCGCAGAAGAAGCACCGGCUAACUACGUGCCAGCAGCCGCGGUAAUACGUAGGGUGCAGGCGUUAAUCGGAAUUACUGGGCGUAGAGCGUGCGCAGGCGGCUCCUUAAGUCAGAUGUGAAAUCCCCGGGCUUAACCUGGGAACUGCGUUUGAAACUGGGGGGCUUGAGUGUGGCAGAGGGGGGUGGAAUUCCAGGUGUAGCAGUGAAAUGCGUAGAGAUCUGGAGGAACACCGAUGGCGAAGGCAGCCCCCUGGGCUAACACUGACGCUCAUGCACGAAAGCGUGGGGAGCAAACAGGAUUAGAUACCCUGGUAGUCCACGCCCUAAACGAUGUCAACUGGUUGUCGGGGAAGUAAUUCCUU
rnacentral:rRNA from 1 species